GCCCCUAGACCCCUAUUAGAGGUGACGCCUGCCCGAUGGUUUAACCUAAACUAACUAACGUUAGUGAACCUGAAUUCAAUGGCCGCGGUAUUUCUGACCGUGAUAAUGUAGCGAAAUCAAUCGUCACUUAAUUGCUGACCUGUAUCAAAGGUAUUACGAAUGUUCCGCUGUCUCAAGAAAAACCCCUGUGAAAUUGAAGGGGCCGUGCAUAUGCGGCCCACCAUCCCUGUAAGACGAAAAGACCCUAUUGAGCUUUACUAUACCCUUUUCUUAAAUUUGCUGGAAAAUAAACAACUUUUAGAUCCAGCUGGCAGGAAAGGGAGGUAGUUUCGUUGGGGCGACGACCUUUUAAAAAGUAACAAAGGUUAGCAAUGGUGAACUCCCAAUGAUAAAAGCCUGACUGUUUGGUCUAUCAACCUAACAGACACUAUUGUGUGCCAUAGUUUUCCAUCUUAGGCAAACACCUAAGAUGCCAUAAUAUAAAAGUUACCAUAGGGAUAACAGCGUAAUUUUGUCGAAGAGCUCUUAUCGAUGACAAAGAUUGCGACCUCGAUGUUGAAUUGUGGUAUCCUGGGGGUGUAGCCGCUCCCAAGGGUUGGUCUGUUCGACCAUUAAAAC
rnacentral:rRNA from 1 species